CGUACGCCUUGUGGUAAGCAUGCGGCGCAAAAAGGGAUGAACCUAGCAGUGGGGUAAGGUGCCUAAAGGAAAACAAAGAGAAAAAGCGUUUGGCAGAUUAGGACAGUGGGGCGGUGGCCAUGGAGGUCGGCAUCCGCUAAGAAACGUGUUACAACGUACCCACCGAAUCUGCGAAUGCUGAAAAUGGAUGGCGCUUAUUUCCAUACCGAGCCCCACAUGGUACAGCCACGUAGGCCGGCACGUGUGCAUCUGAGAAGACCCGCCGUGAGGUGUGUUGGAGAUGUUCACGGAGCAGAUCUUGGAAGUAGUAGCAUCAUUUGUAUGUGCCAAUGGAGGCGGGUUUGUCCUUUUAAUAGAAGGAAGUGAUACGAGCCUAGUAAAAGGGAAUAUAGUAGAUAUUCUAUAUAGAUGUACCUAUGUGGCGACACGACAGCGACCCCAACGACGUGUGCCGGUGAGAAUUUUCCGGGACACCCAGAUCUUAUGAGCGUCACGCUGAGACUAAGAACGAGUUGGGCGGUGAAAAUGAAGGAACAUCCUCGUACCGAACCGCAACAGGACUCCUAGGUGAGAAGCCUAAGGCAUAAUUGUAAUGUGAGCAAGGGAAAUCGGCAAAAUGGAUGAAAAACCUCGGGAUAAUCAUUGGCUCUAGCAUGCUAGAACUGGGCUUACAAGGGGAAUCUGACUGUUUAAUAAAAACAUAGCUUUGUGUGUACGCAAAGUGAAUUCUGCCCAGUGCUUGGGACGUUAAGGAAGUAAUUUUAAGUACGCACCUGUAAACGGCGGGAGUAACUAUGACUCUCUUAAGGUAGCCAAAUGCCUCGUCGCCUAAUUAGCGACGCGCAUGAAUGGAGCACGAGAUUCCCACUGUCCCUGCUCACAGAUUUGCGAACCUACAGCCAAGGGAACGGGCUUGGGACAUGCAGCGGGGAAAGGAGACCCUGUUGAGCUUGACUCUAGCCCAGCACAGGCCUCUGUGACUAUAUCGUAGCGAGGUGGGAGAAAUGUGUGAGACCACUGACAUAGUCGGCGGGGGCACUCGCAAAGCUUGGUGGGGAAUUUGGCUUGGGCGGCCCGACUACUAAAACAUAACGUAAACUUCCAAAGGUAACCUUCGAGGGGAAGGGAACCACUCCGAAAAUUUAAGGGCAAAAGCUUGCUUUAAGUUUUAAGGUAAAAUAAAAAAACGGGGAAACAGGGGCCUCAAAAAUUCUUCUUUA
rnacentral:ncRNA from 1 species